AAGGUCUGAUGUAUCAAAUAUGAUUAAAAAUCACCGUGGCGAAUUCCAAACAUUUGACCAAUCACGGCAGAAAUGCUGGAGGGCGACGUGAGGCGACGUGAAAUGGCCGGACCUGAGGGGGCAUAAAUCAAACAGUGAAGCAAGCCGGACGCCGAAGCUACAAGGAAUCAUUGUAAUCUACCGAGGCAAAUUUUCGACAUGGCAACAUCUUUAAAGUCACACAAGGCGAUGGCAGACUCCGAGUGGAUUGCCAUUGGCAGGAAGGUGUCUAACCCAGUAUCAGGGUGGAAUCGUUGCUGGUGACGGUCAUCAGUAAAGCAUCAGCCCAGCAGAGGCCAGGGAAGUGCUUCAGACUCUACACAGAGAAGGCCUACAGGACAGAGAUGCAGUUGGAAAUUCCUCAUGGGGGUAGGAGCUGCGCGCCAUCGGAGUGCUAUUGGGGAGCGUUCCUGGUGGAUGGGCCUGCGCAGAACCGUCUCCGCGCUUGAACGUGACGAAGCGAGUGCCUGCCACACUGAACGGUAGCGACUAGCUGUCUGGAUUGUCUUCUGGAUUGGGAUGACUUUCCUCUUUGGUGUGGGUUGAUCUAUUGCUGUGGACUUUUCUGUGGAUUCUAUAUGUUGGGCGUGGUUUUAGUAUUGCAUACUGAUAAUACCUUUUGGGUAAAAUGUUGUGUUUUUUGUAAAUAGUUGAGUGUGUAAAAUGAAUUCUGUUUUAAUUAAAUCUUUCAAAAAUAA